rnacentral:rRNA from 1 species
AACGAACGCUGGCGGCAGGCUUAACACAUGCAAGUCGAACGCAUCGCAAGAUGAGUGGCAGACGGGUGAGUAACGCGUGGGAACAUACCCUUUUCUACGGAAUAGCUCUGGGAAACUGGAAUUAAUACCGUACACGCCCUACUGGGGAAAGAUUUAUCGGGGAAGGAUUGGCCCGCGUUGGAUUGGCUGGUUGGUGGGGUAAAGGCCUACCAAGGCGACGAUCCAUAGCUGGUCUGAGAGGAUGAUCAGCCACAUUGGGACUGAGACACGGCCCAAACUCCUACGGGAGGCAGCAGUGUGGAAUAUUGGACAAUGGGCGCAAGCCUGAUCCAGCCAUGCCGCGUGAGUGAUGAAGGCCUUAGGGUUGUAAAGCUCUUUCACCGAUGAAGAUAAUGACGGUAGUCGGAGAAGAAGCCCCGGCUAACUUCGUGCCAGCCGCCGCCGUAAAAC